GUGGGGAAUCUUGCGCAAUGGGGGAAACCCUGACGCAGCGACGCCGCGUGGAGGAUGAAGGUCUUCGGGUUGUAAACUCCUUUUUUCAGGGAAAAUGAUGAUGGUACCUGAGGAAUAAGCCACGGCUAACUCUGUGCCAGCAGCCGCGGUAAGACAGAGGUGGCGAGCGUUGUUCGGAAUUACUGGGCUUAAAGGGCGAGUAGGCGUCCCGACAAGUUAGGUGUGGAAUCUUUUCGCCUAACGAAAAAAUUGCAUCUAAAACUGUUGGGAUUGAGUCAGUGAGGGGAGGGCGGAAUUCCUGGUGUAGCGGUGAAAUGCGUAGAUAUCAGGAGGAAGGCCUGUGGCGAAGGCGGCCCUCUGGCACUGUACUGACGCUGAGGCGCGAAAGCGUGGGUAGCAAACAGGAUUAGAAACCCCAGUAGUCC
rnacentral:rRNA from 1 species